CCAGAGCGGUGGCCUGCCGGGAGAAAAUCCUGGGGGUCAGAGUGCAGAGCCUUGCCGUGUUUCCCUAGCAACGGUCUCUGGAGCAGAUGGCCACCUAGUGAUUUGUCGGACUGUGCCGGGUCUGGGCCUCUUGUUCCCAACUCAUAAGGCUUUGCAGCCCUGUUGACCCGAUGUUUCAUGGAACAAUCACAAAAGAACUAACCAGUCAUGAAGAAUGGAGUCACUAUAAUGACAACAUGAUAGAAGAUCAGAAAGAUUUUGUUUUUGUGAAGUUCAGUGGCCUUCAUUUAAAAUCUAUGGAAAAUUUGCAAUCCUGUAUCUCUCUGAGAGUAUGCAUCUUCUCAAACAAUUUUAUCACAGAUAUUCAUCCACUUCAAAGUUGUAUAAGAUUAGUCAAACUUGAUCUCCAUGGAAAUCAGAUAAAGAGUCUACCAGAUACCAAAUUUUGGAGUGGACUGAAGAAACUAAAACUCCUCUAUCUUCAUGACAAUGGGUUUGCAAAGUUAAAGAAUAUAUGUAUGUUAUCUGCCUGUCCAAGUCUAAUUGCCCUCACUAUGUUUGAUUGUCCAGUGAGCCUUAAAAAAGGAUAUAGACAUGUUCUUGUCAACAGUAUAUGGCCUCUCAAAGCACUGGAUCAUCAUGUGAUUUCUGAUGAAGAAAUAAUUCAGAACUGGCAUCUUCCUGAAAGAUUUAGAGCAUAUAACCACCGACUUUUCUUUAAUUUCUGCCCUGCUUUGAAAAAGGGAUCAACCUAUGGUGAUGAAAUUAAUAAUAUCAAAUAUAUUGUUUCAAAAAUUAAUGAAAUUCUGGCUCAUAAUUCACCAGUUUUGAUUGUUCAAAGAUGGAUACGUGGUUUCUUGGUUAGAAAAAAAAUGAGCCCCUUGUUGCAUAAAAAGGAUCAGGAGAAAUUUAUUGGUGAAUGUGAAACAAAGUGGACUUUUAUACCUAAAGGAUACGAAGACAGUCUCUUUAAGCAUCUCUUUCUUCAGCCUGAAACCAAUAGAACAGGAAAACUUGCACAUUGGAAACAUAAUAUACUUUCUCAUGUUGAUUUAAAAAGUUCUAGAGAACAGAGAAAACAUGUUUCCUCUAUAUUAUAUGAAUUAAAAACAAAAGAAAUUGGUAAAAAAUCAAAAACAUCAAGACAUCUCAUUCAAAAAGGUCAGAAGGAAUCUGAAGAUGAAACUGAAGGUGAAGAAUUGGAUGCCAGCUUUAGGAUAUCAGUGUUCAAACUACCCAUACAUACUUCAGGUUCACUCAAGUAUGCUGCAUUAUUGAAAGAAAAGGAGCAAGAUUAUUUUCCUACAUAUGUCCAGCCAUUUUCUACCACUCAUCAAAAACCAGAAAUUACAAAAAAAGACAUGCUGUUGAAGGGUAAUGUAAGAAAAGAGUUUUUUACAACACACAGAACUGGUAUAAAACUCCGAACACUUUGUGAUAUUGAUAAAUGUUAUUCCGAACAAAAGAAGCAGGAAAGCCAUAAAAAAAAAAUAACAGCUGUAACUCUGGCACAAGUUGCCCAGGAAAGAGUUAGCUUAGCUGUUCAAGAAAACUUAAAUAAGAAAAAAAAUGCUGCACAAAAACUAACUGCAAAAGAUAAUGAGACAAUUCGGAAUGGUUUACAACAACUUUGGCAGGACAGAUUCAAUUACCUUGAAAAAGUUAAAGAGAGGAGAGCUCGGUUUCUGAAAGAAAAAAAACAAAAGGCUGAAGACCGUUUAUUAAUUCAAAACAUAAGUAAUGAGCGCACUCUUUUAUGCAAAGGAAUGAUUAAAAUGGACAGAUUGAGGAAGAAUCAGGCUGUCUUACAAGAGAAAAGUCUGAUUGUUCAGCAAAGACUAGAAAUGGAAAAAUAUCAAAAGAAUUUACUUAAACAAAUGAAGGAAAUUAGGACACAGUCUAUAUUUCCCAGCCUCCCUUGCACAGUUAAUUGGAGCACAGGACUGAAUUUUGACCAAUGAAAUCUGAGUAAAAGUGACUGCCAACUCUUCAGAUUUUUCUGCAGCCUGGAAAACUAGAAAUCUCUUGAAGAGAAUGGAAAGAAUUCAUGAGAAAAUGUCACUAUUGGAGCUAAAGAACCUUCAUUUAUCUUCUCAUGAAUAGAGGUGGUCACCAACCAGGUUUCCAGGGUACCUAAUGCAAUCUGAUACUGUGCACACAGUUGACAAUUGACCGAUGUUGUUAACAGCAGCACUGUAUCAACUUGUGUCUCAUACCAUCUAUAAGUUUCCCAGACUGUAAAUGAGCAGAGAGAGAAAAGCACUUUCUGUGUUUGAAAUGAAUUGAUCAACUAUGAUAAAUAGCUAAAACAGAGUUGGAAAAUGUGCCAGUAUAAAAUAUAUUUUGAAUGAUAAUAAGUGAACUAACAUCCUCAUCCUCAUCGGCUCAUUUUCCUUCCACCAAAUGCCUUGUAUUCUUCUGUCCAUGAAUUUAAAUCAUCUUCUGUCCAUGAAUUUAAAACAGAUUGAAGCAGAAACCUCUGAGGCCCCAGUGGAUGAUGAAGACACUAGAUGGAAGGAACAUACAUCCCUGAAUCACAGUGUGGAAAAAAGGUCUCUGCCAAUAAGAAUAUUGUUAUGCAGGGGCAUACAGUGGUACUUCUGGUGUUUGUCAAGGUAUCAUUAUGGUUCACUUCUUAAAAAUCCAAGAAUCCUUUGGGCAUUAUCUGGGACUUACAAAAAGAAGGUAAAAAGAAGGUCUGGAUCACAGCCCCAGUCUUGCUGAAACAAAGGUGUUCAAGUUCCAGAGCAUCUCAGGGUUUGUGAGCUGAACUGCCAAGGGAAAUCUUGAUUGCACACCUAAUUGUGGAGCAGAAAUCAAAUGGACCCAUGCGAGAUUCUCUUGUUGCUGCAGAUCUCCAAGUAAUUAUGAAAGAAAUUAGAGUACCCGACGUUAAAUCAUGGUUCUGCUGUGGGAUCUUCAGAAAGACAUUCUGUCCGUUGAUUUUCUCAAGUGUAAAAUACAGGUAAUAAACAUAGUGUGAGUACAGGAAGAUUAAGAGUGUGUGUCUGUGUGUGUGUGUAUCAGGGAAUGUUAAGUGCCAUGUCCUUGUUGGCCUCAAGAUAGUGGCAGCAGAACCUAUAUCUUUACAAUGCUUGUUUUAGGUUACCUGAUUUACCAGUUUGUUUAUAAGCAUCAUAUGAUAACUUCACUUGUGAGUCAGUCCCUGUCUUCUUUCAGCUACUCUCUUCUGGUGUUACUAAUGCCCUCCACAUGUACAUU